rnacentral:rRNA from 1 species
UACGGAGGGUGCAAGCGUUAUCCGGAUUCACUGGGUUUAAAGGGUGCGUAGGUGGGCAGUAAGUACUCGUGGUGAAAUCUCCAAGCUUAACUUGGAAACUGCCGUGGAUACUAUUAGUCUUGAAUGUUGUGGAGGUAAGCGGAAUAUGUCAUGUAGCGGUGAAAUGCUUAGAUAUGACAUAGAACACCGAUAGCGGAGGCAGCUUGCUACACAAUGAUUGACACUGAGGCACGAAAGCGUGGGGAUCAAACAGG